UUCGACUGUUCCAAUCGUUUCGCUUAGGACGAGGUGGGCAGGUGGACAUGGUCACAUCAUGGGCCAAGGCUUCCAGGUCGCCCCGGUUCUUGGCCUCUGCUUCAUCCCCACCAGGAGUUCCCCAUCAAGAUGCUGAUUUGCAAGAAUAUAUAUGUACGCUCAAAGGACAGAAAUUCUCCUGGGCAAGCAUCCAAUUGAUUGCGCUGCCGGUAGCAGGUGACGAUGCUACAAUGGGUAACUGAUCUGCCUCUGGCUGUGCACCCUCGGUGUUGAAGGUUACGAUGACCUUGGUUUACAACAAUUGGAUGAUGAGCGCAAUGCUGGUUGUAGAGAGCCCAGCUUUGGCAGUUCAGUCGAUGAGGUAGACGACACAUAAUUUCCAGUUCAGUAGCUGAGAUUUUCUUUUUCUCAAGUUCAGUAGCUGAGAACUCUUGAAUCAUAUGUAUGCUCAUAUAUGUGAAAUAUGUGCACUGCAUGGGUUGAUAACUUCUUCUAUGAUGCCUCUUAAUGAGUGCCAUACUGCCAUGCAUACCUCAGAACCUUAUUUAUGUACUGUUUGAGAUCUGUUCAUUUUACUCCUAGCCUUUUAUCAGUGUAGAAUUGCACUGUGAAGGUCCAAUACUCGAUUACAGCUUGGGUUAAAGUUUUUGUACAAGGCACAUAUGGAAAAUCGUAGUUACAUAUCUGCAAAGGGAAGAGAAUCUAUCUGUAUAUAUCUCACGUUCUUUUUCUCACCAAUUAGAUGUUCUACAUCGGUAUGAUGCUUGCUUUCUAGAUCCCCUUCCACGUUAAGUAUGAAGCAGCAAUGAUGUGCCUACUUUAUAAUGUACUGGAUAGUAAUCAUUACCAAUUUGAUGGAACGGUAUUCAAGAGAAUUCUAAUUUUGUUUUCAUUUUAAUUUAUGUGUUCUCCUUCUAAUACGGCUGUUAUUUCUAAUUUCCAUCGGAUCGUGUGCCUAUGGUAUGAUGAAUGUGUUAUGUUGGCAGUAGGCAGUGCAAGAAGAUGGGAAGAACAAGAAAUAUGGGAAAAGAUGUCAGCGGUAUUUUAAUACACAGGUUACACACUCAUGAUAUAUAGUCAUGUGGUUUACUAUGUCAGAGGAAAACACAUGAUACCACCUGCGUCCCUGAGCAGGGCAGUGUCACUAUAUCCUUGAUAUUGAUGGUAUUUCUUGUAGAAAAAUAUAAAAAUGGCACACCAGUUCCUACUUAGUGUAUUGUCUUUGCUCAAGCUCAUUCUCUACAUAUGUUCUAUUGGUACGCCUUUCUGUUAAGAACAUGGGUAAUUUCAAACUAUGGAUCUUUCUAUGAAUAUUUGAGCAGUGUGCUUCUACUCAGUGUGCUUACUUUGCUCAUGUUUCUUCCUUCUCUGAGUGAGUAAUUUAAGAAUAAGGAUCUUUCUAUGGAUAUUUGAGAAGUGCGAUGUUAAAGGUUUUCCUUUUCUCGGGCUUUCCCAUCAUCAUUGGAUUGUUAUAUUUUUUUCCUAAGUUACAUAGAGCUGGAAAAAAGGGCAUGGGACAUUCCUAUAUUGAUACUGCACUGACAUAGGUAUCAGUCAUACAUGCCUAGAAAGAAGGCUGCGCUAGGAGGUACCAUAUCUUUUAGAUAGGAUUUUUUUUUUGUCUUGCUUUGACUUAUAAUAAGCUAUGCUCGAAAGUUCUGACAUUUACACUCAUCCACAGUAAUAUUUACAUUUAAAUGCAGUGAAGAAUUAUUAGUCUAGCGUCUGUUGUUAGCUGCAGUAUUAGUUUAGCGUUUGUUGUUGGCCUCAUGGGAUGCACUGGCAAAAUUAAUUGAAAUUCUGCUAACACUAUGGUUAUUGGCAUGAAUGAAAUAGUCAGGUCACGUGCAGAAAAUAAUAAUGAAUGCCAGUGAUGGGUGCCACUAAAUAAAAUUCUGCCAACACUUGGGUUAUUGGCUCGAUUGAAAUAGUCAAGGCAUAAGCUGUUGAGCUACCUACAUCGAUCAUUUUGAAAUCAUGGUGCUGUUGAAGCUCCAGUAAACAUCUGAAAACAAAAAGAGAGAUAUUUAAUGUUACUGAUUGGAGCUCUGGCAAUAUGACGAGCCAGUUCUUCAAGUAGAGGUUCUGAACUUGACCAGGAGGAAUGGAACCUGAAGCUGAUAUGUUUAGAUUGUUGCCUAUGGAAGAUCCAAUGCAUAGAUGCAUGAAAGUAACUUGCCGUGGCCAGUUUUCUACUUGGGGGGAGGCGAGGAGCUGCCUGAGGAUUCACAAAGCGCAUGAAUUCUCACAGCUCGAGACUCGAAUUAUCUAUAUUGCUAGAUGACCUAGCGGUUGCUCAUUGGCAUUCUAUUAUAGUAGUUUCGCAUGAAAAUUUGAAGCUUUGCUACAAUUUGCAUACUAAAAUUUGUGUUGUGUUGGGUAUAGAUUUCUCAGUAGGUAUCUUGAUUAGUUGUGUUGAACUUGCUGUGGUCUUUUUGCUUAGGAUUUGGAUGUAUAGCAUUCCUACGUUACUUUCUAGGAUGUUGUGAACAUUUGACAAAUUAUGAGGCAUAUUGUUACCAGGUGUUGUCAGCAA